rnacentral:tRNA from 1 species
UCCGAUAUGGUGUAGUGGUUAACAUCGUCCGCUUUCACCGGACAGCCCCGGGUUCGAUUCCCGGUAUCGGAA